rnacentral:lncRNA from 1 species
AUUACUUUUGGGCAUUUUCUUUAUUUUCUUUCUUUAAGCCGAACCUUGCCUUUUCCUCCUCUCAAUCUUAAUACUUCAUUUAGCUGAACCUUUGUCCCUCUUCUCUCAUAUUCAAGUCGACUAUACUUUUCUUUCUUUCUCUCUCUCUCUCUUUGUUCAAGUUUCAGUAGUGGUGGUUCUAAUCAUUUGUUUCAGAUUGCAAUCUUUGACCCUCUGCGUGAUAUGAGGUUCGUUGGGUCCUAGGUGUCCCAAGGGGUUUAUUAGAAGUACUAAAGCUUUC